GACGAACGCUGGCGGCGUGCUUAACACAUGCAAGUCGAACGAUGAAGCCUAGCUUGCUAGGUGGAUUAGUGGCGAACGGGUGAGUAAUACGUGAGUAACCUACCUUUAACUCUGGGAUAAGCCCGGGAAACUGGGUCUAAUACCGGAUACGACCAAUCUCCGCAUGGGGUGUUGGUGGAAAGCGUUAUGUAGUGGUUAUAGAUGGGCUCACGGCCUAUCAGCUUGUUGGUGAGGUAACGGCUCACCAAGGCGACGACGGGUAGCCGGCCUGAGAGGGUGACCGGCCACACUGGGACUGAGACACGGCCCAGACUCCUACGGGAGGCAGCAGUGGGGAAUAUUGCACAAUGGGCGCAAGCCUGAUGCAGCGAGGCCGCGUGAGGGAUGACGGCCUUCGGGUUGUAAACCUCUGUUAGCAGGGAAGAAGAGAGAUUGACGGUACCUGCAGAGAAAGCGCCGGCUAACUACGUG
rnacentral:rRNA from 1 species